GUUGCAUGGAACCAGUGGUUAUUCAGCAACGGGACCAACGGCUUUACGUGACUUCCGAACCACGUUGAGAGUGAACUUCUAUCACCAGAAAUGCACAUCUCUCACUCCUCAAUGGAAUGCCCGAGAAUCGAACCCACAACCACCGAGGUGGGACGCCAACACCAUACCAACCAGGCCACUGAGGCGCUUGAAUUUGUGGUGAAUUUUUUUAACAAGCUGUAGCCGGAAGAAAGAAAUUGGUAUACCAAGAAGGUUACUGGGCAGUAAAAAGUAAAACAACAGAAUAGCACAGUAAAAAGUCAAAAUGGACAGCUCUGCUGAACUAACAGAAGUCAAGGAUUCAAUGGUAUAGGAGGGCAUGAUGCAGUCCUGACUUCAGGCAGUCUGAGGUUUAUAGACAAAGUAAAGGGUAAAGGACAACCCAAUGAAAGACUACCCCUGGUAUGACAAUGAAGGUUUUGUAAUAAAGUGUUCAAGGAACAACUCUUAAAGCAGUUUAUAAGGAACCUGCAUGACUACAAUGGACUAUGAAGAAGUCUCACUUAAGUGGAAGAAUCAACCUAUGAGACAGCUCCUUUAGGUGGUAAAAGAGCCUUCUCUUAUCUCUGGAAACAAUUACUUCUGAUUUGUAAUUUAUUCUUAAUUUGUGCCAAAGUUUUGCAGCUGCAAGGUUUUGAAACAAAAUAUCCACAAACAAUAAACACACCAACUGUAUAUUACUUUAAGGUUGCUAGGUCACAACUGAGCUUAGUUUCUAGUCUGCAAAUGUCAUAGUAAAGAAAAAAAUGCCUUCUUAUCUUCAAUUAAGUACUAGAAGCAAUUCAAAUUUUGUCCUUUUCAAUUCUUCAUGUUCCUCAUAUUCUGACUACAAUCCUGUCACUAGAAGAGAUUUAUUUUUAAAAAUUUACUAAUUUAUUCAGGAUCAUUGGACUUUGUUUAAAAUAUCUUAACCUUACCUCCUCAGAAACAGAAAUUCACUAAUAUUAAAAAUGAACAGGUUUUUUCCCCUCAACAGAAUCUGGCUGCUAACUCUUACAUUUCUCUGAAUAAAGUCAAAAUAACCUAGCAGUCAACAAUAAAAAGUCUACUUGAAGUAAAUCAUAAAUAACUGUAAAUUUUAAAAAUAAUCCUAACAACAGCAAACAUUAUUUUUUCAUAGCGGAGUGCUAAAGGUAAGACACAAUCUGCAUUCUUUUAAAAACUGAUGCUAAUAAUAAAACUCUUCCAUCUGCCAUAAUUUGUCUAACAUUUGCAACACUGUAGACUUUCAUACAUGGCGUACAGCUUUCAAGCUAUGGUAAGAGUACUUAUUAAGCUUUGUGUAAUUAAGCAUUUUCACAAUUUUAGCAAAGCAAUUUUUCCAAAUGCUUGUCUCAUGUUCAUUCUAACAAUCUUACUGAAUCACUGCAAUUAUUAUAAAAAAUAAAAUCAAGUAUAAACUGAACUUUAUUAGUAUUAACUUGAUUUUAAAUUCCUUACAGUAUUACAGUAUAGCAUUAACCAAACUGAAUGAAGAACUUAGUGACGAUGCAUAAUGAGAAUAGGAUUCAUAACCUAAAAUAACAUGGUAUUUGCAAGAAUCCCAAUUAAAGUACACCAUUUUUUAGAAGAUGAAAAUUAUUGUAAACUACACACACACUUGCAAUAUUAAGAGGAAUACCUGUACUUAAUAGAUUCUACCUCUGAGUUUUCUUUAACCCUGUGCUUCUUGG